rnacentral:lncRNA from 1 species
GCGCCGAACCCAGGCCGUCUGGCCCGAACGCAGGCCAAGGCGGAGGCGCCCAGGCUGCUUCCCGGCCCCGGAGCCCCACAGCACCAAGCCCGGAUCGCAGGACACGGGCGCGCGCCCGGGCCCGCGCACACUCACCGCCCGCGCCGCCGCCGCCGCCGCCGCCGCCACCCCGGGACGCGGAAGGUCGGGGGCGCCGAGCCCCUAAUGCCGCAGCCUCUGGGCACCGCAGCCCCGCGCCCAGCACGCCUCCCGCGCCGCGCUGCGCCGCCUUCACGGGCCCGCCCCCCGCCCGGCCGGCCCCGCUCGGUCGCCCAACCCCGAGGAGCCGCCCGCCGGACUCGCUUUGGGGCCAAGAGGGAACGCGCCUCCCGGGCCCGCGGCGGAGCGGAGCUGGAGGCCGCGUUUCAUCAGCCGAGCGCCCCCCCGGGACGCCGGAAGGAGCCUCCGCGCGGAGCCGACCACGUGCACGGCAUCUUGGGGCACGGGUUCCCGCCGUCUCCCCACUGUAAAGGAGCGGCUUACUCCAGAGGUCCAGCCCCCUCACACACAAUCACGGAACCCGUGGAUGAGGCAGUAUUUGAGACCAGAAGUUUAUUGGGGACUUGGGUUUGGUUUUUGUUUGGUUGGUUUUGUCGUUGUUUUUAGAGUCGGGGGUUUCGCUGUGUUGCCCAGGCUGCUAUCGGACUCCUGACCUCAAGCGAUCCUCUUGCUUGGCCUCCCAAAGUGUUGGGAUUACAGGCGUGAGCCACCGCACCUGGCCGGGGACUUGUUUCUAAUGGAAAAUUGUGUAUGUGCUGUAUUGUUAAGAGCAUUGGUUUGGGGUCAGACUAGGCUGUGAUUCGGGUCUCUCCACUUCUUAUUAUCGUCUUUGGUAAAUUAUUUAACCUCUUUGUGCCUUCGUUUUCUGUAAAAAGCAGAUAAUUAUAGCUACUUCAUGAGGUCGUGUGAAGAUUUAAUGAGAUAGUGUGUGUGAAAUGUUCACAGCUACCAGACACAUACUCACUCGUGUUCCCAAUUGCUAUACUCACAAGGGCUCACUCCCAUCGCCAUCCUUCGUAAUUUCAAAGGGUCUACGGUUAAAAGUAAGUAACCUUUCCCCUGAGGAAAACACUAACCUUGUGCUUUCCUUGUAUUUUUCCUUAGAGCACAUAUGUACCUGUGCGUGUGUGCGUUUACACAAAGGAAGGCCUUUUCUAUUCUGUUGGGCACUCUGCUUUUUCAUUCGACAAAGUACCUUGGCGCUCAUCGGCCAGAACGCGCCACACUGCCUCAUUUCCUUUUAAGGGGCACAUAAACGUCCCUAUAUUAAUAUUAGGUUUGCGCAAAAGUUAUUGCGUUUUUUUGCCAUUAAAAACAUUACAGGCUGGGCGCGGUGGCUCACGCCUGUAAUCCCAGCACUUUGGGAGGCCGAGGCGGGAGGAUUACCUGAGGUCGGGAGUUCGAGACCAGCCUGAUCAACAUGGGGAAACCCCGUCUCUACUAAAAAUACAAAAUUAGCCGGGCCUGGUGGCGCAUGCCUGUAAUCCCAGCUACUCGGGAGACUGAGGCAGGAGAAUCGCUUGAACCCGGGAGGUGGAGGUUGCGGUGAGCCGAGAUUGCGCCAUUGCACUCCAGCCUGGGCAACAAGAGCAAAACUCCAUCUCAAAAAAAAAAAAAAUUGCAAAAACCGCGAUUAUUUUUGCACCAACCUAAUAGAAAGGGUCUUUGUUUUCUUAACCCUUCUUUCUUAGUGGACAUGAAGGUGAUUUCCAGCCUUGCUGACAGGCCUUGCCCUGAUACACAUAGCAGCAUUGUUGCAUACACGCAAACAUGCCACAGCCUGCAUUUCUUUCUUUCUCUUUCUCUUUCUUUCUUUCUUUCUUUCUCUCUUUCUUUCUUUGUUUCUUUUUCUUUCCUUCUUUCAUUUCUUUCUCUCUUUGUUUCUUUUUCUUUCCUUCUUUCUUUCUUUCUUUCUUUCCUUCCUUCCUUCUUUUUCUUUUUCUUUUUCUUUUUCUUUUUCUUUUUCUUUUUCUGAGACAGGGUCACUCUCUUGCCCAGGCUGGAGUGCAGUGGUGCAGUCACAGCUCACUGCAGCCUCGGCCUCUCCUCUCAGGCUCAAGGGAUCCUCCCACCUCAGCCUCUCUGGUAGAUGGGUCUAAAAGUGCAUGCCACCACUCCCGGCUAAUGUUUUUGUUUUUGUUUUUGUUUUUGUUUUGUAGAUGCAGGGUCUUACUAUGUUUCCCCAGCUAGUCUCAAACUCCUACACUCAAGUGAUCCUCCCACUUCAGCCUCCCAAAGUGCUGGGAUUACACGUGCAAGCCACCAUGCCUGGCCCAUUUCUAUAAGUAGAUGUGCUGAGUCAGAAUGUACAUGCUUGUUUGUUUGUUUGUUUGUUUGUUUGUUUGUUUUUGAGAUGGGGUCUCGCUCUGUCACCCAGGCUGGAGUGCAGUGGUGUGAUCUUGGCUCACUGCAGCCUCCACCUCCCGGGUUCAAGCGAUUCUCCCACCUCAGCCUCCCGAGUAGCUGGGAUUACAGGGGUGUGCCACCACGCCUGGCUAAUUUUUGCAUUUUUAGUAGAGACAGGGGUUUCACCAUGUUGCCCAGGCUGGUCUCGAACUCCCGACCUCAGGUGAUCCACCCGCCUUGGCCUCCCAAAGUACUGGGAUUACAGGGGUAAGCCACCGCACCUGGCCUAUGCAUGCAUUUUUUUAUUUUAACAGAUAUUCCAAAUUGUUGGGAAACUCUCAGACCCCAGAACUUAGCUGGCUGCAUGCUCGGCCAGCCCUCAGAGACAGCAUGAUUGGAGGCAGGAGCAGGAAUUGGCAACCUGAGAAGUAGAUACCACCCAGGCACCCUCAUUCACAAGGAUCCAGGUAGUGGGCUACUAAAAAUGAAGUUCAUUCAUUUAUUUAUCCACAAAUGGACAUUCAGUACCUGCUAAGGGACAGGCAUUGUACUGAGCAAGAGUGAACAAUACACACCAGGUCCCUAUUUAGUGUGCCUGAUUUCCAAACAAAACAAAAACAAAAAACAAUUUAGACGCGUGGGAGCAAGAGCCUCAAGAGAUAUUGAAGCUUUACUCACUGAUGAUAGGAUAUUAAAAGGGAUCCUGCAACAGGUGUGUGGCCUGAUCACCAUCUAUCUAAACCCUACCUCUCCAACAAGGUUGCCCUCCUCCAUGAAGCCAGAUGUGGUCCCCCUGCCCUUUCUGCCAGGCUGCCUUUACUCUUCAUUCUCACUGCUGGUCACUCCAGCGUGAACUUAGUGCUGACACAUCAAUCUCCUAUACCAGGGAGGCACAGAAGACAGGGGCCUUUGGAGCUGGCCCACCAGGCUCUACCACUUACUGGCAUGUGGCAUUGGCAGGCAGCUCAGCUCACUCUCUGAGUUUCAAUACCCUCAUUUAUGAAAGGCAGAUAACUGCUAAUCUGGGAGAUUGCAAGAAUUAAUUGAAGUGAUGAAAUGCUUAGAAGAAAAUGCUCAGUAAAAGUGUGGUGCAUUCUUGGACAACGAGGUAUCAUGUGUUUGCAUCUCUGAAAUGUCACCAGUGUUCAGUCCUGGCAUAGCAAGGAGGAGUGGGUGCUCAUGUAGAAUGGAGAAAGGACAAUAGAAUCCAGUGAAAGUAGGGUGAAAUCCAGUCAGGUGUGCUGGAAAGCAGACUUCAGUAGUGAUCAUCUUGAAUCCACAAGGUCCUUGUGGUGGGCCCAAGCCUCUCCCCACCCACAGCCUACCCUGGACUAAUCUUUACUCACUCUCUCCCAACACGUAAAAACCCUAUGCUCCAAAAAUACAGAGCAUCUCUCAUUUCCUCCUAUAACCCUCUCCCCCUGUUCUCUCACUUCUAGUUCUCAGUGGUUGCCAUUCUCUCCCAUCUGGAAAGUUGUCUCCAAACCCCAGCCCCAUCGUUCUACCUGACGAACCAACUCAUUCUCGGGUUUCAGCUGAAAGGGCCCUUCUUCUGGGAGCCCUGCCCUGUCCUGGGCCUAGGCCAGUUCCCCAUUCUCAUAGUUCAUUCUCAUAGUUACUCUUGUUUGUUUGUUUCUGGCUUUGUGUGUUUUUAUUUUUUGAGACAGGGUCUCACUCUGUCACCCAGGCUGGAGUACAGCAGCGCGAUCUUGGCUCACUGCAGCCCCGACCUCCUAGGCUCAAGUGAUCCUCCCACCUCAGCCUCCCAAGUAUCUGGGACUACAGGCAUGCACCACCAUUCCCGGCUAAUUUUUUAUUUUUAGUAGAGACAGGGUUUUACCAUGUUGCCCAAGCUGGUCUCGAACUCUUGAGCUCAAGCAAUACACCUGCCUCGGCCUCCCAAAGUGCUGGGAUUACAGGUGUAAGCCACUGCGUCCAGCCCUACUCUUGCUUAACCUACACUCAUCCCAUACCCAUCACAUGGUAUUGUCAUUGUUCAGUGUCCCCUUUCCCAAAAAGAGAGUAAGCCUUUUGGGCAUAGGGCUGUUUCUACCCAUGUUCAUAGCUAUCCCCCUGCCCCUAACCCUGUCCUCAGUAAUUGUUAAAUGCAUAUGAAGUAGUGAAUGAAUAAAUAUGAAUGAAAUCAUCAGGGCCUCAACUAUAGAUAAAUCCAAAUAACCACAAACCCCAGCCAAAGCCACCCUUACUCAGCAGUUGCUCCAUCUGUCCUGUUGUGUCUGUAAGGGUUACAGACCCAGGGCUGAGGGCUAGCUGCCAACACUGUUUGAUAACUUGGAUGAAGUAAGAGAAUGAACUUUUUUCCAGCCUGGCAGAACCUUAGUGUUGCAGCAGAUGGUACUGAGAGAACCUCAGAACUGCUGGAUGAGAUCUCAACUUUGUUACCCAGGCAGGAGUGCAGUGGCACAAUCUUGGCUCACUGCAACCUCUGCAUCCCAGGUUCAAGCGAUCCUCCUGCUUUAGCCCCCACAAGUAGCUGAGACUAUAGGCAGCGCCACCACCAUAUCCAACUAAUUUUUUUCUUUUGUAUUUUUUGUAGAGACAGGGUUUCCCCCUGUUGCCCAGUCUGGCAUCGAUCACCUAAGCUCAAGCGAUCCACCCAUCUUGGCCUCCCAAAAUGCUAGGAUUAUAGGUGUCAGCCACUGCACCCGGCCGUAAGUUAUUUUCAAGUAGGAAAAAAAGGAGGCUGCCUGCUCCUUAACUCUUCAAGCCUACCCAUCCCUAUCAAUCAUCCCUUCAAACACAGUAAACUAUGGCUUUAAAUUCACAGCUGACCCAGGAGCCAGUGGCAUCUGAAAUUUUUUUAAAAGCCAGAGAAGAUCUAUGUUGACCUGAUGAUCUUUCACCUUCUAGAUCUCCCUGAACCACUGGCCAAAUCUUUCAAUAAAGAAUGUGCUUAACCUGCCUCUUAAGACCCAUGUAUUUGCACAAGAAGGAAAAAAAAAACCAGAAAAAAAAGCAAAACUAGAGCUGCCUGCCUGUGCUGAAGCUUUUUCAGUAAUUUCAGAGCCACUGAAGUGAUGUGAGAUCAGUUGACAAGAGAAAAACACUCUGAGAUCUGCCAGAAUGACCCUCAAGGGGAGAAAAAUAAUUAAACAGGUGGAAAAACAAGGAACACGCAAGACUGAUCAAAGCGUUUCUUUUCUGUUGAACAGCUUUUGCUGACUUCUGGUACCAUCAGUUUUCUUGAGUACAAUAAAGACCAACAAAUGCAGAAUGUUAGUUACGGGCCUUACUCAAUCAGGCUCAAAGGCUUUACUGGGGUUACAGGAAGCCAAGUACCCAGUCCACUAAUGUCCUGGGAGAAAAGCCUGAAGGCAGAGCAUGGUAGGUUUUCUCUUGCAGCCUGCAGGCUGAUCUGAUGGGACUUCAAUUCUGUCACUUCCUUGCUCUGUGACAUUGAACAUUCUGUAAGCCUCUGGGCCUCAGCUUUCUCAUCCAUGGAAGUGGGAUUACAGUGUCUAACCUGCAGGGCUGCUGUGUGUUUAUAUAUGUGCAUAGAACAUAAUGGCCUUCCCUUGAUAGAAGCAGAGAUUGGACAUGUGGCCUCUGACAAGUUACUUUUUUUUUUCUACAAGUUUCCCUCUCCUCUCCCCCAUUCAGAAAGUGGAAGGGGUAAUUCUUCAGGGAAUUUGUGAGAUGUUACCACAAGGUUACACAAUGGCUUGCUGUAAACUAUUUUAUGUCUUUUUUUUUUUUUUUUUUUUGAGACGGAGUCUUGCUCUGUCACUCAGGCUGGAGUGCAGUGGUGCGAUCUCGAUCUCAGCUCACUGCAACCUCCAACUCCCAGGCUCAAGCGAUUCUCAUGCCUCAGCAUCCUGAGUAGCUGGGACUACAGGUGCACACCACCACGCCCCAGUAAAUUUUUUGUAUUUUCAGUAGAGACAGGGUUUCGCUAUGUUGGCCAGGCUCGUCUCGAACUCCUGGCCUCAAAUGAUCCACCAGCCUCGGCCUCCCAAAGUGCUGGGAUUACAGGUGUGAGCCAUAUUUUAUGCCUUUUAUCAGGGCAUCCUCUGUAGGUUUACAUGACAUAAAAUUGCCCAGAGGGCAACUGAAGAGCAUCACUCUACAAUUUGGGAGAGGUAAAGGGAAAAGAAUCAGAUGGGUAAGAUACAUAAAAGGUAUAUAGCUAUGAAGUUGUUCAAUACUCAGUACACACCGUGGUUAAACACAGAUGCAAAAGCCGGAUUGCAAGUUUGAAUCUUGGCUCCAUCACUGCACAUCCUUGGGCUGGUUCCUUAACCUCUCUCAGUCUCAUAUCCCAUAAAAAAAAAAAAAGAAUUAAAUUAGUCAAUAUAAAUGUAAAAGUUCUUACAACUAGCUGGCACAUAGAAAGCUGUUAGCAGGCAGGGCAUGGUGGCUCACAUCCAUAAUCCCAGCACUUUGGGAGGCCAAGGCAGGCAGAUCACUUGAGGUCAGCAGUUCGAGACCAGCCUGGCCAACAUGGUGAAACCGCAUCUCUACUAAAAAUACAAAAAUUAGCCAGGCGUGGUGGUGGGCGCCUGUAGUCCCAGCUACUCAGGAGGCUGAGGUGGGAGAAUCACUUGAACCUGGGAGCGGGAGGUUGCAGUGAGCCGAAAUCAUGCCACUACACCCCAGCCUGGGCAAUAGAGUAAGGCUCUGUCUCAAAAAAAAAAAAAAAAAGCUGUUAGCAGUUGUAGCAGAAACAUGGUUUUACCCAUGGAAUAUCCAUGGGCUUCCCCUUAUUUCUUAGCCUCCCUUGUGUUGGGUCGGGACACGUGACCUACACCAAUAUGCUGAGAACAAGUGUCAUUUGAGGACUGAAGCAGGUGAGAGCUGAUGCAUGCUUGCCAACUUUUUCUUCCCAUCACUGAAAUUUCAUGGAAACCAUGUGGUGAGAUGGUAGAGACACAAACUGGAAGUAAUCCAAAUCACUGAGCGGCCACAUGGAGAACAGUCACCCUGAAGUCACCCAACUUGUAUCAGAUUUUGUAAGAAAUAAACCUUUGUUACAUUAAGCCACAGAGAUUUCAGAACCUGUCCUGUCCUGACCGAUGCAGCUAUUAUUAAACUUGUAAUCAAGAAUGAUUAGUCUGAGAAAAGGACAGCAAAUUUUAGAAAAUUAGGAAACAUUUGCUGAGUACCUAGAAUGUUCCAGACAUCUUGUAUAGUGCCUUAUCUUCUCUAAUCUGGGGGUGGUUUUUGGCACCCAGGGGACAUUUGACAAUAUCUGGAGAUAUUUUUUGUUUCACAACUGAAGGGGUUCUGCUGGCAUCUAGUGGGUAGAGGCCAGGGACACUGCUACAAAGCCCUAUAAUGUAUUAAGUGUACAAAAGGAAACCCUCCCGGCCAGGCAUGGUGGUUCAUACCUGUAAUCUCUGCACUCUGGAGUCUGAGGCAGGCAGAUGGCUUGAGCCCAAGAGGUUGAAGCUGCAGUGAGCCCUGAUCGUUAUGCCACUGCACUCCAGCCUGGGCGAAAGAGCGUCUCAAAAAAAUAAAACCUCUCUGCUGUUGGUUUCUGUGACUGGCAACGUUGGGUUGCUUGGCUCAGUAUUAAUAGUCAAGCAGUUAAGUAAAUAAGCACAACUCCAUUAAUCCAGAAUAAAAAUACUGUUGGCAACCCAUUUAAACAUUGAGUCUAAGCACUUGAACAUGAGUGUUGCUUCAUGUUUCUCCAGUUUGGGAAAUCUGUAUUUGCAGUUGGCAGAGAUUAGGAGUUGCUACACUUAGCAAUAAGGAGAGUAAAGCCUUAACAAAACUGGAUACAGUUUGUUAAGCCCUCCAAACUGACAUGUUAAGAUGGAGAUGUUUACCAGACAUCCAAGUCAAAAUAUCAAAUAAGCAAUUUAAUGACUACAGCUCAAGAGAAAUGGGUUUGAGAUAGAAAUUUGGGUCUUCAGUAUAGGUAAUAAAGCCUGGAAAUGAAUGUGGUCUCACCAAUAGAAUGUUAGAGAAGUCCAAGAACAAAACCUUGGUGAUAUGGUUUGGCUGUGUCCCCACCCAAGCCUCAACUUCAAUUGCAUCUCCCAGAAUUCCCACGUGUUGUGGGAGGGACCAAGGGGGAGGUAAUUGAAUCAUGGGGGUCAGUCUUUCCUGUGCUGUUCUCAUGAUAGUGAAUAAGUCUCACGAGAUCUGAUAGAUUUAUCAGGCUGCUUUUGCUUCUUCCUCAUUUUCUCUUGCCUCCACCAUGUAAGAAGUGCCUUUCACCUCCUGCCAUGAUUCUGAGACCUCCUCAGCCAUGUGGAACUGUUAAGUCCAAUUAAACCUCUUUUUCUUCCCAGUAUCAGGUAUGUCUUUAUCAGCCGCAUGAAAACGGACUGAUACAGUAUAUUGGUACCAGGAGUGGGGUGCUGCUAAAAAGAUAACCAAAAAUGUGGAAGCAACUUUGGAACUGGGUAACAGGUAGAGGUUGGAACAGUUUGGAGGGCUCAGAGGAAGACAGGAAAAUGUGGGGAAGUUUGGAAUUUCCCAGAGACUUGUUGAAUGGCUUUGCCCAAAAUGCUGAUACCAAUAUGAACAAUAAGGUCCAGGCUGAGGUGGUCUCAGAUGGAGAUGAGGAACUUGUUGGGAACUGGAGCAAAGGUGACUCUUGCUAUGUUUUAGCAAAGAGACUGGCAGCAUUUUACCCCUGCCCUAGUGACUUAUGGAACUUUGAACUUGAGAGAAAUGAUUUAGGGUAUCUGGUAGAAAUUUCUAAGCAGCAAAACAUUCAAGAGGUGACUUGGGUGCUGUUAAAGGCAUUCAGUUUUAUAAGGGAAGCAGAGCAUAAAAGUUUGGAAAAUUUGCAGCCUAUGUGAUAGAAAAUUAAAAUGCAUUUUCUGGGGAGAAAUUCAAGCUGGCUGCGGAAAUUUGCGUAAGUAGCAAGGAGGCUAAUGUUAAUCC